rnacentral:rRNA from 1 species
GAUGAACGCUAGCGGGAGGCCUAACACAUGCAAGCCGAGCGGUAGAGAUCUUUCGGGAUCUUGAGAGCGGCGUACGGGUGCGGAACACGUGUGCAACCUGCCUUUAUCAGGGGGAUAGCCUUUCGAAAGGAAGAUUAAUACCCCAUAAUAUAUUGAAUGGCAUCAUUUGAUAUUGAAAACUCCGGUGGAUAGAGAUGGGCACGCGCAAGAUUAGCUAGUUGGUAGGGUAACGGCCUACCAAGUCAGUGAUCUUUAGGGGGCCUGAGAGGGUGAUCCCCCACACGAGAGCAGGGACACAGACCAGAGGACUGCGGGAGGCAGCAGAGAGGUAUGGGAGGCAGUAGGUGGGAACAUGAGACAGCCGGCGCAAGUGAAAGACAGCGGCCCUGUGGGAGGGAAGAUGGUUUUAUAGAGGGAAAGACCUUUCAACGUGGAGAAAGAUGAAGGUACUGUACGAAUAAGCACCGGCUAACUCCGUG